AGCUUUGACAAGAUUGCUAUUAAACUAAAUGUCUGUGACAAAGAAGUUCAAGAAGCCAUUGUCAAAACACCAGAUAAUGAGCACAGAGGAUGGCAAAGGAAAGAUGGAUGGAAAUGACAGCAAGAAAAUGCAACGCCUAAACUUAUCCCGUGCCCUCUCUCGCCGCCCGCCAGCGCUGUCACGGGAACAUGUUAGCCAGUCUCCUUGGAAUCAUUACCAGGUCUCCUUGGAAUGGAAACUGUGUCAGACUCCGGGGUCUCUAGACAUCAACGCAAGGCAUUUAUUCUCCACAAAGCCUUCCAGGCACAUGCAGUCGCCGGAGAGGAAUUGUUGAACAGUCCCAACCCCAAUUAAGUUUUCAGCCGCUUUCUGUAACCCUGGAUCAAGAGAUUGACUAUCUCCAGCACUCUAUAGGGAUUUCUCCUGUCACUUCCUAAUAAUACCUACACCACCACCCCCAACAAGGCCAUCGCUAGUCUGACUUCUAUCACCAUCAAUAGUUUGCCUGUUCUUGAACUUCAUAUAAAAGAAU